UGGGCUCGUCUUGUACCAACUUGAAAGCAUGUCGACAGGGUGGAAUGUGGUCGUUGUAUUGCUGGAAGUAAUUAUCGGGAAGCCUCGCACGUGGAGGGGCAAUUUCGUUUUUAGGACAAUGCUCUGCACGCCUCAAUUCACAGGCCUUUUCUAAUCAUUUUCUUUACAGUAUUUAUUAUUUAAUUUCUUUCUCAAAAUUUCUCUAAAAAUGAAAUUAAACUUUCGAAUUGUUAUUACAGAAUAUUUUAAUAAAACCACUAAUGUUAUUA
rnacentral:lncRNA from 1 species